UAUUGAGCCAUUAUCAGCAUUAAAGAUGUUGUAGCAUAGUUUGACCUCAGGGUGGCGCACGCACACCAUAGUCAGCUGUUGUUAUGCCAACUUCAGUUUGUCGUUACGCUUUGACACUGAAGGAAACCCAAGCCUAAUGUCCGAAAGGAAAAAAGAUCAAUCCAGAAGUGAAAACCGACGUGAAGCCAGUGCUCAACGUUAUGCUUUUCACCACGAAGCUCAGAGAGGAACUUCAGCAGGCCAAGCAUUGGAUGACCUCGAGCGGCACCACGGCAACCUAAGCCCGACAUCAAGCCCAAGUCCGUCACA